rnacentral:rRNA from 1 species
CCAGACUCCUACGGGAGGCAGCAGUGAGGAAUAUUGGUCAAUGGCCGAGAGGCUGAACCAGCCAAGUCGCGUGAGGGAAGACGGCCCUACGGGUUGUAAACCUCUUUUGUCGGGGAGCAAAGAGAGUCACGUGUGACUCAUUGAGAGUACCCGAAGAAAAAGCAUCGGCUAACUCCGUGCCAGCAGCCGCGGUAAUACGGAGGAUGCGAGCGUUAUCCGGAUUUAUUGGGUUUAAAGGGUGCGCAGGCGGAGGUGCAAGUCAGCGGUCAAAUUGCGGGGCUCAACCCCGUACUGCCGUUGAAACUGGCGUUCUUGAGUGGGCGAGAAGUAUGCGGAAUGCGUGGUGUAGCGGUGAAAUGCAUAGAUAUCGCGCAGAACUCCGAUUGCGAAGGCAGCAUGCCGGCUCCACACUGACGCUGAGGCACGAAAGCGUGGGUAUCGAACAGGAUUAGAUACCCCUGUA